UGACCAGCCACACUGGAACUGAGACACGGUCCAGACUCCUACGGGAGGCAGCAGUGGGGAAUAUUGCACAAUGGGCGCAAGCCUGAUGCAGCCAUGCCGCGUGUGUGAAGAAGGCCUUCGGGUUGUAAAGCACUUUCAGCGAGGAGGAAGGUGGUGAACUUAAUACGUUCAUCAAUUGACGUUACUCGCAGAACAAGCACCGGCUAACUCCGUGCCAUCAGCCGCGGUAAUACGGAGGGUGCAAGCGUUAAUCGGAAUUACUGGGCGUAAAGCGCACGCAGGCGGUUUGUUAAGUCAUGAUGUGAAAUCCCCGGGCUCAACCUGGGAACUGCAUUUGAAACUGGCAAGCUAGAGUCUCGUAGAGGGGGGUAGAAUUCCAGGUGUACCGGUGAAAUGCGUAGAGAUCUGGAGGAUACCGGUGGCGAAGGCGGCCCCCUGGACUAGACUGACGCUCAUGUGCCAAAGCGUGGGGAGCAACAGGAUUAGAUACCCUGGUAGUC
rnacentral:rRNA from 1 species